rnacentral:rRNA from 1 species
AGUGAACGCUGGCGGUAGGCCUAACACAUGCAAGUCGAACGGCAGCACAGUAAGAGCUUGCUCUUACGGGUGGCGAGUGGCGGACGGGUGAGGAAUACAUCGGAAUCUACUUUUUCGUGGGGGCUAACGUAGGGAAACUUACGCUAAUACCGCAUACGACCUACGGGUGAAAGCAGGGGAUCUUCGGCCCUUGCGCGAUUGAAUGAGCCGAUGUCGGAUUAGCUAGUUGGCGGGGUAAAGGCCCACCAAGGCGACGAUCCGUAGCUGGUCUGAGAGGAUGAUCAGUCACACUGGAACUGAGACACGGUCCAGACUCCUACGGGAGGCAGCAGUGGGGAAUAUUGGACAAUGGGCGCAAGCCUGAUCCAGCCAUACCGCGUGGGUGAAGAAGGCCUUCGGGUUGUAAAGCCCUUUUGUUGGGAAAGAAAAGCAGCAGGUUAAUACCCCGCUGUUCUGACGGUACCCAAAGAAUAAGCACCGGCUAACUUCGUG